GGUAUUCCCCAUCUGAAAUGGUUUGGAGUCGAGGGUGAUCACAAUGUCAUGGUUAUUGACCUUCUUGGACCAAGUUUAGAAGAUUUAUUCAACUAUUGCAACAGGAAAUUUACAUUGAAAACGGUGUUGAUGCUUGCGGAUCAACUUAUUAACAGAGUUGAAUACAUGCAUUCAAGAGGUUUUCUUCACCGUGAUAUAAAGCCUGACAACUUUUUAAUGGGCCUGGGCCGCAAAGCAAAUCAGGUGUAUGUCAUUGAUUUUGGCCUUGCAAAGAAGUAUAGGGAUCUUCAGACUCACAAACACAUUCCAUACAGAGAAAACAAGAACCUCACAGGCACAGCUCGCUAUGCAAGUGUCAACACUCAUCUUGGAGUUGAACAAAGCAGACGGGAUGAUUUGGAGUCUCUUGGUUAUGUGCUUAUGUAUUUCCUAAGAGGAAGUCUUCCCUGGCAGGGAUUAAAGGCUGGCACAAAAAAGCAAAAAUAUGACAAGAUCAGUGAAAAGAAAGUUUCAACUCCCAUAGAGGUGCUUUGUAAAUCAUACCCAUCUGAGUUUGUAUCAUAUUUCCACUACUGCCGAUCAUUGCGGUUUGAAGACAA
rnacentral:misc_RNA from 1 species